UACGUAGGGGGCAAGCGUUGUCCGGAUUUAUUGGGCGUAAAGAGCUCGUAGGUGGUUCGGUAAGUCGGAUGUGAAAUCUCCAGGCUCAACCUGGAGGGGUCAUUCGAUACUGCCGUGACUAGAGUUCGGUAGGGGAGUGUGGAAUUCCUGGUGGAGCGGUGAAAUGCGCAGAUAUCAGGAGGAACACCCGUAGCGAAGGCGGCACUCUGGGCCGACACUGACACUGAAGAGCGAAAGCGUGGGGAGCGAACAGG
rnacentral:rRNA from 1 species